GUAACACUUGCCCAUUGGCUAUCAAACCCCCCGGUGGCCACCCCAGCCCCGUGGCUAACACACCCCCCAGUGACUAACACUCCCCCAUGGCUAACAGUGGCCCGGUGGCUAUCACACCCCCGUGGCUAUCACAGCCCCGUGGCUAACACUCGCCCGUUGGCUAUCACACCCCCGUGGAUAUCACACCCCCGUGGCUAUCACAGCCCCGUGGCUAACACUCGCCCGUUGGCUAUCACACCCCCGUGGAUAUCACACCCCCGUGGCUAUCACAGCCCCGUGGCUAACACUCGCCCGUUGGCUAUCACACCCCCGUGGAUAUCACACCCCCGUGGCUAUCACAGCCCCGUGGCUAACACUCGCCCGUUGGCUAUCACACCCCCGUGGAUAUCACACCCCCGUGGCUAUCACAGCCCCGUGGCUAACACUCGCCCGUUGGCUAUCACACCCCCGUGGAUAUCACACCCCCGUGGCUAUCACAGCCCCGUGGCUAACACUCGCCCGUUGGCUAUCACACCCCCGUGGAUAUCACACCCCCGUGGCUAUCACAGCCCCGUGGCUAACACUCGCCCGUUGGCUAUCACACCCCCGUGGAUAUCACACCCCCGUGGCUAUCACAGCCCCGUGGCUAACACUCGCCCGUUGGCUAUCACACCCCCGUGGAUAUCACACCCCCGUGGCUAUCACAGCCCCGUGGCUAACACUCGCCCGUUGGCUAUCAAACCCUCUGGUGGCUAUCACAGCCCCGUGGCUAACAGUGGCCCGUUGGCUAUCAAACCCCCGUGGCUAACACUUUCCCGUUGGCUAUCAAACCCCCCCGUUGGCUAUCACACCCCCGUGGCUAACACUUUCCCGUUGGCUAUCAAACCCCCCCGUUGGCUAUCACCCUCCCGUGGCUAACAGCAGCCCGGUGGCUAUCACACCCCCUGUUGACUAACACUCCCCCAUGGCUAACACUUUCCUGUUGGCUAUCACACCCCCUGUUGACUAACACUCCCCCGUGGCUAACAGCGGCCCGGUGGCCACCCCAGCCCCGUGGCUAACACUGGCCCGCCUGUCCCGCCCCGCAGAGUGGCCCGAGUUCGUGCGCAGCUACGCGUCCUGGUGGGCGUCGCACGCGCUGGCGUGGCUGCGCUUCGCGCGGCGUUUGCUCGUGGUGCACUUCGAGCAGCUGCAGCGCAGCCUGCUGCCCACGCUGCGCGCCGUGGUGCGCUUCCUCAACGUCUCCGUCAGCGAGGAGCGCCUGCUCUGCGUCGAGAGCAACCGCGACGGCAGCUUCAAGCGCUCCGGCGCCCAGCAGAAGGACUUCCAGCCCUUCACCCAGGAGAUGAAAGAGCUCAUCAACAAAUACAUCCUGACCGUGGAUGAAGCCCUGAGGGGAAGGAACUUCUCGGGGCUGCCCAGGGAGUACGUGCCCAGAUGAUAGGCUGGCAUCGUGCUGCUGUGGUUAAAAAUGGAGUUUCUUUUUUUCUUUAAAAAAAAAAAAGACGACGGAAAAAAAUCUCGGACAAAAAACCCACAGACAAACAAGGACAACAAAAUUUAAAAAGGAAAAAAAAAAAAAAAGAAAAAGGACCAGAACUCUUUAUCAGUUGUGGCAAAGGUGCUUGUGGAGGCUGCUGAGCAGUGCGGCAGUUGGGAAUGCCGGGUUUUGGCAGCCCCAAAGUGCCCAAACCUGGCUCUGAGCCAUGGAGGGGACCCCAGGGGUGGCAGAGAAGGCAGUGCCACCUGUGCCAGGGGUUCAACGCAGGUGUCUGUACUCCCCUCUUCCCCUGGAGAGCCGUGCUGGGUCUGGGGGACACCACGAACAUCACCAGCUCAGUGCUCUUGGCUCUGGAAAUGGAACUGGCUCCAGCUGGAGCUCCCCCUGGAGAACGGGGGCAAAGGGGGGAGCCCCAGCCCCCCCAGCCCAGCAGGGGUAGGAUCCGCCUCCCAGCCCACCCCUGAGCCCUGCAGGAGCCCCAGGGCAUCCAGCCUGGAAAAGCAGGGCAGUGCAGAGCUGCCUCAGAGCCCCCCCAGCACAGGUGGGAUUGAACUCUGCAGCCCCCCGGGGUUGUUGGACCCUGCAGAGGGGCCAGAACGGGGGCACACGGGGCUGGCAGAGCGCUGGCCCCGUGGCCACUGGGCAGCUGGGGGUGUUAAACCCUGGGCCAAAGGGGCUGCCCUGCUGCCAGCCCCUUCCGUUCACCUGAAAUAAAGGAUUUCUUAAAAACUUGAGUGAAAAUACUAAUUUUAAUAAAGCAAGUUUAUACAAAGGGAGCUGAACUUCCUCUGCCUGUGUAUCGUUGGUGCUUUAAUAACAACGCAGGACACGGGGCACGCUGAACCCCAGUGUCUCCCUGCUCACACCCCACACCUGGCUCAACCCUGCUCUGGGGCUUGUGUGGGGCUGUCACACCCCCACCCCCAUACUCAGCGCCUUCCCUGGCAGUGGGGGUCCCAAGGGCCACAAAGGGGUGAGGGACUGAGCUGAAAGAAAACAAAUUAUUUUUGUUUAUGCAAGGGGAAGAGUUCAAAACCCCUCAGUUUGGGUGCUGUAGUGACAGCCUGUGGUGCCUGCACAGGGGGCACAGCCUUCCCUGGGACACAGCUCACACACAUGGACACCAGAAAAAAUCCCAAAUUGUGCCAGUACCGAACGCCACAGACAGCACAGAAACACCCAGGCACAGAAACAUUCCCAUAAAGCAGGUUAUUAAGGAUGCUACAAAACAGGACUAUCACCAUCUCCGCUCUGACUUACUCGUUUGGAAAUUUUGCAUUAAAGCUCUUCCAGGUUUCAUUUGGGCAGCAGUUGCUGUUGAUGGACGUGGGUCACAGCCCACAAAGUUUGAGCCCAGCCUAUGGAAGGAGCACAAAUAGGUCACAGGAAGAAAUUGCUCUUAGCCUCACUCAGUUACAUGCCUGAGACCACAAACCAGGAUUUGGGCCCCCCACAAAACAUGACGAUGAUAACAUUUUAUUACAUUGACUUUCCAGCCUUGUGUAGCAUUACAGGAUCAUUUUUAAAAUAUUUUCAUAAUUUCAAACCUGUAAAUGGUGAGCAAGGACAGGCUGUAAACUCUCAGGAAGGCAAUUUAAUUAUGUAUAUGUCCUGUAAUGAAGACUCUAGUUGGCUAAAAUUAGAGCUGGCAAAAGUUAUGAAUAUGCAUUAGCUCUGUAAUGCCAAAAGUGAGCUCGUUUAACAAUAAAAGAAAUUGUAGCCAACCAUUUCUCAAUAGCUGAGGUGCAGGGGCUGCCUCUUUAUUUGUAGACACUCUGUACAAAAUAUGAAUAUCUGUUAUUCACAUGAUACAGCUGUAUGUACACACACGUGAACACAUCACUUGAUUUGCUCUGCCAGGUUCCUUUUACGAUCACAGGAACAGUGAAGGAUUUCUUGGUCAUUGCACACGAGGCACACCAAGAGCCUGGGAGAGGAACAGCUCACAUUGUCCUUCCCUGCCACAUCUUUGUCAGAAUUGUCUUUUGGCUGAAGCAGCUCUUCCUCUUUACCUUGAGAUGUGUUCCCAGUUAUUGAUCACAUCCUCUCUCAAGCUCCAUCUUGCCAGAGCAAAUAUUCUGUGGUGCUUCGCCCAGUUCCCCUGCAAGGCAGGUUUUCCUCUCAACCAUCUCUAUGCUUAUUGCACUUAGCUUUAAUUAACCAGAAUAUCUCAGUAAAAAAAAAAGCCACUGAAAGCCACGUUGAUGUUCACUCCACACAGCCUUGCCUUCUUAUUUGGUAUUCAAAAUAUUAGAAAUGGAAGAAAUACGCAUGCAAUUGCCUCAAGCUUUCAGUUUUCCUCAGGAAGUCGUGAGUCAUAAGCAGGCAAGUGGAACAAAAGAGAGAUGCUACAUUUGAGAAAGAAGAGCUUAACACUUGAGGUUGUUAAAGUGAACAACAGCCAAACUAUACAAGGUGGAACCCAGAUUCUCUGUUGAACUGUAGCUACAAGUGGAUAAACCAUACUAGAAGAGAGGACAUAAUAGGAGAGAAAAUGGUUUUUCUUCCUGGAAACCAAUUGCAAUAUAAAGCCUUUAAAGCAAUCCUAAAAAAGCACGAAUGUCAUCACCACUAGUUCUGCCUUUCUGCAGUGCUUUAUGAAUUUUCCAUUAAACCCAUUUCUUUUAAAACCCAUUACUCACUGCUGAGACCAAGCUACUAAACUACUGCAGCAAUAUUAACCUCCCUGAAAUAAUUAAAGGAUGGAUUAUCAGCAUGAGACCUUACACGACACCUCUCUGGAAUCUAAUGUGUCUUCCAGUGGCCUGCAAUAUAAUGAGAUGUUCAAAUAUGAAACGUUGAGUUACUGCCUUUGUCAGUUGUGACAUUUAUUCAAUCAGAAAGAUCCGACUUCCCAACUGCAUUUCUUACACUUUACUUUCGACCUUGGGUGGUUGAGAGCAAUCUUUAAGGAAGUUAUCCCUUUGAAUCUCCUUUUUACAUUAGCAUUUAAUUAAUCUAACGAAUUUCCUGAUGUACAGUUAUAAUGAUCUGUAAAUCAGCUCUUCCCCUUUGAACCACAUGUUGCAUUUUUUUAGUUUCUG
rnacentral:lncRNA from 1 species